rnacentral:siRNA from 1 species
CGCGCUACACUGAUGUAUUCAA